GGAAGCACAGGUGUAACCAAUUCUCCUGUGCUUCCCACCUGGUUGGAAGGGGCAGACCUUGGGCUCAUUUAAGAGCUAGCCUCCAAAAGGUGAAUGUCUUCUGGAUGAGGGUUGUUUUUUGAGAAGUAGUAUUUUAUAGCUAGAGAGACUAUCAUCAGUUGGGUUAGACUGAACAUUUGAAGUUGUUCAGAUGUGGAACUGCCAUGAAAAAACUUCUUGUGUAAUUAGUCUCUGCUACCUUAUCCUGCCAUUCUUUCUCCAUUUGUUUAUAACUGUUGAAACACCUGCAAUGUGUUUGUUGAUUCUAUGAAAGAAGUGGCAGUAAAACAUGGUUCUCAGCUGGAUGCAAAUUUCUUCUGUAAGAAGUUCUACUUCACACUAAACUUGUGCUCCUUGAGAGCAUAGGCUGUUCAUGUAAGAAUCAUUAUUUGUUACACAGGCUAUCUGGGAGCAGUGUGAGCUUGAUUUACGGAAGAAAAAGCCACCUAUCUGUGGUAAGAAGCAAGUUGUGUAAGGUUGAGAUGGUUGAGUUUGGACGUUUCCUAGCUGUAUUCAGUAGCUCCUAAACAAACCAGCAGAAGUCACUAACAGUUCUGGGCAAACUACUAAAUGCACACCCUGGGAGUGAAAACAAGUCGUGUCUUACCUGCAGAGAAGCCUGCUCUAUGUGUUGUUCAUUUUUAAAAAUUAUUUUUAGUUAAUAUGACUCUUUAACUAUACACUGUGAUAUAUGUGGCUGAGUUUAAUUGUAUUACACAGAUACAAGACCUCUAUGAAUGGGUAAACUGAGUCCUACAUGUUCAAAGUAGUGUUCUUCAAUUCAUUGCACCGAUUCAUCAAUUGAACACAAGCCAAAGGCCAUUACAGUGGAGGAGUUGUUGUUUAUAACUUCAUCUGGGCCUGUACCUGUUACGUGGGAGGCUCCUACAAGCUCUUUUAAGUUGUAUUCUUCUUAUAUUGACAUCCCCCCUUUCCGUAUGUUUUUUAGACACUGCAAUAUGAAUUAUGCUUAUUAUGGAUAUGACAGCCAAAUCUAUUUUGCUCUUACAAGUGAUGUGCCAAGACAGCCUCUGUUCUGUCAGUAAGCACUGCCAAAGUACAAUUGCAUAUGGCAGCAAACCUUUUUCAAGUUAAAACAGAAAUGCUGAAAACUGACUUGACUAAUUUAUCAAAAUUGCUUCCUGACUCUCCUGGGUUUUUUUUCUGGCUGCUACAAGACAUCCUUCUACAAUGCAACUGGAAACUCUUUGGAACUAAGUCAAUAUUUUCAUUCAUAUUUCAUGUUAACACUGGACCCAAACAUUGUAAGGUGCUAAAUCUUUUUGAAAGGGUGACAAUCAGUGGUUUCCAACACAGAGACUGUGGUCUAAUGGUGUGCUACCAUGAUCUUGGAUUUUGUGCAACUACUUAUAUAAAAUUGGUCUGAAGUACUAUUAGCACAAUAUUGACAGUUUAUCCUUAUUCUUUCUUCUCACUGUAUAUAAAUGCACCUGUGAGAUCAGUGAAGUGAAAGA